rnacentral:rRNA from 1 species
AUGAACGCUAGCUACAGGCUUAACCCCUGCAAGUCGCGGGGAAACGACAUCGAAAGCUUGCUUUUGAUGGGCGUCGACCGGCGCACGGGUGAGUAACGCGUAUCCAACCUGCCCAUCACUUGGGAAUAACCUUGCGAAAGUAAGACUAAUACCCAAUGAUAUCCCACGAAGGCAUCGGAAUGGGAUUAAAGAUUUAUCGGUGAUGGAUGGGGAUGCGUCUGAUUAGCUUGUUGGCGGGGUAACGGCCCACCAAGGCAACGAUCAGGAGGGGUUCUGAGAGGAAGGUCCCCCACAUUGGAACUGAGACACGGUCCAAACUCCUACGGGAGGCAGCAGUGAGGAAGAUUGGUCAAUGGGCGAGAGCCUGAACCAGCCAAGUAGCGUGCAGGAAGACGGCCCUAUGGGUUGUAAACUGCUUUUAUAAGGGAAUAAAGUGGGUCACGUGUGACUUUUUGCAGGUACCUUAUGAAUAAGGACCGGCUAAUUCCGUG